rnacentral:lncRNA from 10 species
AUCUUCUCCUUGUCCUGCAUGAUCUUCCUGGCCAUGGGGCUCAGCGACGAGAAGCUGGGCCCGGGGCCUGGCGCGGUGAGCUGCAGAUAGCCGGGGGCGCAGGGCAGCCCGGAGGCUGGAGGGCGACCUGGAAGGCUGGACCGGUUCGGGGCAUCUGGUGCUCAAGGAAAGUCAGCUCCCGCCGCCCCUCGGGGCCAGGUGGGUGCAUGAAGUACCCGGUGGCCCAGGUGCCUUUCCCCAACCCAAGGAGCUCAGAACUCUUGGCAGUUCGACGUUUGCAAACAAACCAAAGAGGAGCAGAAAGUUUUCAGACUCAGAGGCGACAUCCCAACAGGGAAUUAUGAAGGAAUGAAUAAGUAUUCCAUAAUUGGCAUCAUUAAUUCCCUCUCUACAGAAAAGAAAACUGAGGCAUCAGCAGAAGAGACUCACCUAAGCUUGUCCCUGACCACCCGCGCACCUCAUAGUUUGGGACGGAAUUGAGAUCACAGAACAGGGUUCCUUUGUCUUUUGUUAAAUCUGUAACAUUGGAUUGAUGUGUCUAAGGUUGGCUUGAAGGAGUACUUUAGGACUCAGAACAACAGGAUGAAGACAGCAGCUAAAAUAGAACACACCAGCAGAGACGUUCAGCUCCUUGAGCUGUGCUUCCGAAGCUCAAGCAUGGCAGAGUGGCCUUGUUAAAUCAGAGUUC